CUCCACCGGAUCAGGUCUCACAAGAGGACUCUGCUGUGAAGUCUACAGCAGAUGAUGGGACCUGCUUGGACAAUAAUGACAUCAGCUGCCGCUACAAACUCGGAAAGCAGCUUGGUGAAGGAGGUUUCGGCUCCGUGUAUGAGGGGAUUCGCAUACAGGAUGGUCUGCAGGUGGCAGUUAAAUUUGUCCAGAAGACCCCAAAUAUGCAAGAUGUCAGCUCUUCAUGUGACCAGCCACUUCCUCUAGAGAUCACCUUG